UUUGUGUGUGUGUGUGUGUGUGUGUGUGUGUGUAUUUAUUUAUUUAUUUUUAAAUUUCAAGAUACUUAUUUCUUUAAGUGCAAUUUUUUUUUUUUUUGGUCUUUUUAGGGCUGUACCCGAGGCAUAUGACAUGGAGGUUCCCAGGCUAGGGGUCUAAUCUGAGCUGUAGUUGCUUGCCUAUGCCACAGCCGCAGCAACAUGGGAUCCAAGACGCAUCUGUGACCUACACCACAGCUCAGGGCGACGCCGGAUCCUUAACCCACUGAGCAAGCCCAGGGAUGGAACCCACAACCUCAUGGUUCCUAGUCGGAUUCACUAACCACUGAGCCACGACAGGAACUCCAAAGUGCAUAUUUUUUUAAAAUUUAAUUUAAUUUUUUGUCUUUUUGCCUUUUCUAGGGCCGCUUCCUGAGGCAUAUGGAGGUUCCCAGGCUAGGGGUCCAAUCGGAGCUGUAGCCGCUGGCCUAUGCCACAGCCACAGCAACACGGGAUCCGAGCCGCGUCUGCAGCCUACACCACAGCUCACGGCAACGCUGGAUCCUUAACCCACUGAAUGAGGCCAGGGAUUGAAUCCGAAACCUCACGGUUCCUAGUCAGAUUCAUUAACCACUGUGUCAUGACAGGAACUCCGCAUGUUUUUUUUUUUUUAAUUGUUAUUUCCCCAAUACAAUUUCUUUUUCUACUGUAUGGUGACCCAGUUACACAUACAUGUAUACAUUCUAUUUUCUCACAUUAUCAUGCUCCAUUGUAAGUGACUAGACGUAGAUCCCAGUGCUACACAGCAGGGUCUCAUUGCUAAUCCAUUCCAAAGGCAAUAGUUUGCAUCUAUUGACCCCAAGGUCCCAAUCCACCCCACUCCCUUCCCCUCCCCCUUGGCAAACACAAGUCUGUUCUCCAAGUCCAUGAUUUUCUUUUCUGUGGAAGGUUCAUUUGUGCCAUAUAUUAGAUUCCAGAUGUAAGUGAUAUCAUAUGGUAUUUGUCUUUCUCUUUCUGACUUACUUCACUCAGGAUGAGAGUCUCUAGUUCCAUCCAUGUUGCUGCAAAUGGCAUUAUUUUGUUCUUUUUUAUGGCUGAGUAGUAUUCCAUUGGAAAACACUUAGUUUUAAUGUCAUCUAGUUGGAAGAGUGAAAGGAAUUACAGUUGGUAAAAGAGGAAAUGAAGGGGUAAGUGGCAUUCCUGCUGUGGCACAGUGGGUUAAGAAUCCAACAGCAGUGGCUCGGGUCCCCAUGGAGGGGGAGGUUCGAUCCCUGGCCCAGCACAGUGGGUUAAAGGAUUCUGCAUUGCUGCAGCUAUGGCUGGGAACUUCCAUAUGCCAUAGGUGUGGCCAUUCACAUACAUAAAUAAAUAGAUAAAUAAAUAAAUAAACAGGAGUUCCUGUUGUGGCUCAGCAGGUUAAGAACCUGUUGUGGUGCCUACGAGGAUUCAGGUUUGACCCCUGGCCUUGCCCAAUGGGUUAAGGAUCUGAUGUUGCCACAUGUAGGUCACAGAUGUGGCUCGGACCGGUGUUGCCAGGGCUGGGACGUAGGCAGGCAGCUGCAGCUCCAAUUCGACCCCUAGCCUGGGAACAGGAGCAGAUAAAUAUAUACAUAAAUACAUAUAUGGGUAAGUAUAUGGCUGAAAAAAACACAGAUGGCCAACAGAGGAACCUAAGCACGGGAUCUACACUGAUGUGGGAGGUAGGUUCAAGGAGAGGGAGGCUGGGAGCUAAAUCCUGAGUCACCGCUGUGAAAAUCAGCAGGUGAGGGUGAUUAGAGGGCGAGGAGCAUAUUGAGAAUCAUGGAGAUGCCCAGAGAGAGAAAGCUAAGACCCCAAACCCUGCAAAAGAUCUCAUUUAUUUUAAUUAUGUGCACGUGCUUUCAUAUCUUAAUUUUUUUUUUUUUUUUGGUCUUUUUGCCUUUUCUAGGGCUGCUCCCGAGGCACAUGGAGGUUCCCAGGCUAGGGGUUGAAUCGGAGCUGUAGCCACCAGCCUACGCCGGAGCCACAGCAACUCAGGAUCCAAGCCGCAUCUGCAAUCUACACCACAGCUCAUGGCAACGCCAGAUCAUCAACCCACUGAGCAAGGCCAGGGAUCGAACCUGCAACCUCAUGGUUCCUAGUCGGAUUCCUCAACCACUGCACCACGACAGGAACUCCUCAUAUCUUAAUUUAACUUUAAAAAACAGAGACACGAUUCUGACAGCUGCUACAACAUGGAUGAAAAUGAGGAUGGUAUGCCCAAUGAAAUGAGCCAGUCACCAAAGGUCUGUAUGAUUCCACUAUUACAGGGUCUCUAGAGCAGUCAAAUUCACAGAAAGUAGGGUGGUGGAUACAGGGAUUGUGAGAGGGGGACUGGACCCGAGAAUUUCUGCAAACCUCAGGAGCAGCCAAAAAGAAAAAAAAAAAAAAAAGAAAAAA
ensembl:lncRNA